rnacentral:rRNA from 1 species
GACAGAGGGUGCAAACGUUGCUCGGAAUCACUGGGCGUAAAGGGCGUGUAGGCGGGAAGGAAAGUCAGAUGUGAAAUCCCUGGGCUCAACCCAGGAACUGCAUUUGAAACUCCCUUUCUUGAGUGUCGGAGAGGAAAGCGGAAUUCCUGGUGUAGAGGUGAAAUUCGUAGAUAUCGGGAGGAACACCAGUGGCGAAGGCGGGUCUCUGGGCCGAUACUGACGCUGAGGAGCGAAAGCGUGGGGAGCGAACAGG